UACGGAGGGUGCAAGCGUUAUCCGGAUUCACUGGGUUUAAAGGGUGCGUAGGCGGGCAGGUAAGUCAGUGGUGAAAUCCCCGAGCUCAACUUGGGAAUUGCCGUUGAUACUAUCUGUCUUGAAUAUCGUGGAGGUGAGCGGAAUAUGUCAUGUAGCGGUGAAAUGCUUAGAUAUGACAUAGAACACCCAUUGCGAAGGCAGCUCACUACACGAUAAUUGACGCUGAGGCGCGAAAGCGUGGGGAGCGAACAGG
rnacentral:rRNA from 1 species